rnacentral:rRNA from 1 species
GGGGAAUAUUGGACAAUGGGCGCAAGCCUGAUCCAGCAAUGCCGCGUGGAUGAAGAAGGUCUUCGGAUUGUAAAGUCCUUUCGGCGGGGACGAUGAUGACGGUACCCGCAGAAGAAGCCCCGGCUAACUUCGUGCCAGCAGCCGCGGUAAUACGAAGGGGGCUAGCGUUACUCGGAAUGACUGGGCGUAAAGGGCGCGUAGGCGGUUUGGACAGUUAGGCGUGAAAUUCCUGGGCUCAACCUGGGGGCUGCGCUUAAUACAUCCAGACUUGAGUGUGGAAGAGGGUCGUGGAAUUCCCAGUGUAGAGGUGAAAUUCGUAGAUAUUGGGAAGAACACCGGUGGCGAAGGCGGCGACCUGGUCCAUUACUGACGCUGAGGCGCGAAAGCGUGGGGAGCAAACA